rnacentral:rRNA from 1 species
GGUUGCGAUCAUACCAUCACUAAUGCACCGGAUCCCAUCAGAACUCCGCAGUUAAGCGUGCUUGGGCGAGAGUAGUACUAGGAUGGGUGACCCCCUGGGAAGUCCUCGUGUUGUGUCAC